CGAUAGAAGAGACACAGAAGUCCAGCUGAUGU
rnacentral:piRNA from 1 species